rnacentral:RNase_P_RNA from 2 species
GAUUUUGAGUAAUCGCGGCUGCCCUUGAGGCAGCUGAGGAAAGUCCAUGCUCGCACAGGCUGCAAUGCCUGUAGUGUUCGUGCUCGGUGAAAAAAUAAGCCGGGGGACUCUAACGAGUUACGGCGGAUUUAAGGCUAAGGCUUCGGCUAUGCCGGCGAUCCUUAAGGUGCCACAGAGACGAGUACCUAGGGAAACCUAGGUGUUGGAACGCGGUAAACCCCUCGAGCGGGAAACCCAAACUUUUGGUAGGGGAGCUUCACACACGGAAAACAAACCAAGUGUGGGGGGAAAACAUUCAUUUGUUUUCGAGAUAGAUGAUUACUACCUGAUAUCCCUUUCCUGGGGGAUAGGCAGGCACAAAACAUGGCUUACAGGA